CAAAUAUCCGCAGGGUUUUCUAUUUUGGUAAAAGCAAGUUCUUGUUCUGAACCUUUUAAGCUCCAUGAAGACAAGCUGUACCUGAAUGGGAUGUGCCAGUUUUUUAACGCCGGUGUACUGCCUCGGUUCGUGAAAUUGUGGCAUGGGGCAAUAACACAAUCACCAGUGGCAAUCAUUCAUUGCAUACAACACGUGCAUCAUGGUUAGAAAAUGAGAGGGGUAAUGACUGUCUGCCAUAAUCAU
rnacentral:lncRNA from 1 species